rnacentral:rRNA from 2 species
GUGGCGAACUGGUGAGUAACACGUGGGAAACCUGCCCAGAAGCGGGGGAUAACACCUGGAAACAGAUGCUAAUACCGCAUAACAACUUGGACCGCAUGGUCCGAGCUUGAAAGAUGGCUUCGGCUAUCACUUUUGGAUGGUCCCGCGGCGUAUUAGCUAGAUGGUGGGGUAACGGCUCACCAUGGCAAUGAUACGUAGCCGACCUGAGAGGGUAAUCGGCCACAUUGGGACUGAGACACGGCCCAAACUCCUACGGGAGGCAGCAGUAGGGAAUCUUCCACAAUGGACGAAAGUCUGAUGGAGCAACGCCGCGUGAGUGAAGAAGGGUUUCGGCUCGUAAAACUCUGUUGUUAAAGAAGAACAUAUCUGAGAGUAACUGUUCAGGUAUUGACGGUAUUUAACCAGAAAGCCACGGCUAACUACGUGCCAGCAGCCGCGGUAAUACGUAGGUGGCAAGCGUUGUCCGGAUUUAUUGGGCGUAAAGCGAGCGCAGGCGGUUUUUUAAGUCUGAUGUGAAAGCCUUCGGCUCAACCGAAGAAGUGCAUCGGAAACUGGGAAACUUGAGUGCAGAAGAGGACAGUGGAACUCCAUGUGUAGCGGUGAAAUGCGUAGAUAUAUGGAAGAACACCAGUGGCGAAGGCGGCUGUCUGGUCUGUAACUGACGCUGAGGCUCGAAAGUAUGGGUAGCAAACAGGAUUAGAUACCCUGGUAGUCCAUACCGUAAACGAUGAAUGCUAAGUGUUGGAGGGUUUCCGCCCUUCAGUGCUGCAGCUAACGCAUUAAGCAUUCCGCCUGGGGAGUACGGCCGCAAGGCUGAAACUCAAAGGAAUUGACGGGGGCCCGCACAAGCGGUGGAGCAUGUGGUUUAAUUCGAAGCUACGCGAAGAACCUUACCAGGUCUUGACAUACUAUGCAAAUCUAAGAGAUUAGACGUUCCCUUCGGGGACAUGGAUACAGGUGGUGCAUGGUUGUCGUCAGCUCGUGUCGUGAGAUGUUGGGUUAAGUCCCGCAACGAGCGCAACCCUUAUUAUCAGUUGCCAGCAUUAAGUUGGGCACUCUGGUGAGACUGCCGGUGACAAACCGGAGGAAGGUGGGGAUGACGUCAAAUCAUCAUGCCCCUUAUGACCUGGGCUACACACGUGCUACAAUGGAUGGUACAACGAGUUGCGAACUCGCGAGAGUAAGCUAAUCUCUUAAAGCCAUUCUCAGUUCGGAUUGUAGGCUGCAACUCGCCUACAUGAAGUCGGAAUCGCUAGUAAUCGCGGAUCAGCAUGCCGCGGUGAAUACGUUCCCGGGCCUUGUACACACCGCCCGUCACACCAUGAGAGUUUGUAACACCCAAAGUCGGUGGGGUAACCUUUUAGGAACCAGCCGCCUAAGGUGGGACAGAUGAUUAGGGUGAAGUCGUAACAAGGUAGCCGUAGGAGAACCUGCGGCUGGAUCACCUCCUUUCUAAGGAAUAUUACGGAA